rnacentral:rRNA from 1 species
GACGAACGCUGGCGGCGUGCCUAACACAUGCAAGUCGAACGGGGUGAUUUCCUUCGGGAGAUCACUUAGUGGCGAACGGGUGAGUAACGCGUGAGGAACCUGCCUUUCAGUGGGGGACAACAGUUGGAAACGACUGCUAAUACCGCAUAACGCAGCGAGACCGCAUGGUCUUACUGCCAAAGCUUUAUGUGCUGAAAGAUGGCCUCGCGUCUGAUUAGCUAGUUGGUGGGGUAACGGCCCACCAAGGCGACGAUCAGUAGCCGGUCUGAGAGGAUGAACGGCCACAUUGGGACUGAGAUACGGCCCAGACUCCUACGGGAGGCAGCAGUGGGGAAUAUUGGGCAAUGGGGGGAACCCUGACCCAGCAACGCCGCGUGAA